UACGUAGGGUGCGAGCGUUAAUCGGAAUUACUGGGCGUAAAGCGUGCGCAGGCGGUUAGCCGUGUCCGAUGUGAAAGCCCCGGGCUCAACCUGGGAAUGGCAUUGGAAACUGGCUGGCUGGAGUGUGGCAGAGGGGGGUGGAAUUCCACGUGUAGCAGUGAAAUGCGUAGAGAUCGGGAGGAACACCAGAGGCGAAGGCGGCGACCUGGACAAGUACUGACACUCAACUGCGAAAGCGUGGGGAGCAAACAGG
rnacentral:rRNA from 1 species